UGCGAAAACAACCAGGAUGUUGGCUUAGAAGCAGCCACUCAUUAAAAGAGUGCGUAAUAGCUCACUGGUCGAGUGACGCUGCGCCGAAGAUUUAACGGGGCUAAGCAUAUAACCGAAGCGUAGGCAGUAUUGAAUACUGGGUAGGGGAGCGUUGUGUAAGGGGCGAAGUCAUAGCGGAAGCAGUGGUGGACAUUACACAAGUGAGAAUGCCGGAAUGAGUAGCGAGAAUUGCGUGAGAAUCGUAAUGGCCGAAAAUCUAAGGUUUCUUGGGGCAGGUUCGUCCGCCCAAGGUAAGCCGGAAGCUAAGGCGAGGCCGAAAGGCGUAGUCGAUGCACAUACGGUAGAAAUUCCGUAGCCGUCAAAAGAUUUAAGCAUACUGACACCGACACAGGAAUCUGACCCGGGCGCUGGUAGACCCGGGCGAAAGGGACUGAAAUACAAGUAGGGAAGCAGAUGAAUGAUCGGGCGAGAAAAGGUAUGUGUAUAUCUGCGAUGUCCGUACCGCAAACCGACACAGGUAGAUGGGAAGAGAAUUCUAAGGCCAACGGGAGAAGGGUAGUUAAGGAACUCGGCAAAUUAGCCCCGUAACUUCGGGAAAAGGGGUGCCAUGGAGACAUGGCCGCAGUGAAUAGGCCCAGGCGACUGUUUAGCAAAAACACAGGUUUCUGCCAAAUCGAAAGAUGAAGUAUAGGGGCUGACACCUGCCCGGUGCUGGAAGGUCAAGGGGAAGUGUUAGGAGCAAUCCGAAGCACAGAACUUAAGCCCCAGUCAACGGCGGCCGUAACUAUAACGGUCCUAAGGUAGCGAAAUUCCUUGUCAGGUAAGUUCUGACCCGCACGAAUGGUGUAACGAUCUGGGCACUGUCUCAAUUACCCGCCCGGCGAAAUUGUAGUACCGGUGAAGAUGCCGGUUACCCGCGACAAGACGGAAAGACCCCAUGGAGCUUCACUGCAGUUUAAUAUUGGGUUUUGGCAAUUUAUGUACAGGAUAGGUGGGAGACAGGGAAUCAGCCACGCCAGUGGAUGAGGAGUCAAUGUUGGGAUACCACCCUUAAGUUGCUAGGAUUCUAACCUGCGGCCGUGAAACCGGCCGGGGGACAUUGUUAGACGGGCAGUUUGACUGGGGCGGUCGCCUCCAAAAGAGUAACGGAGGCGCUCAAAGGUUAGCUCAGUACGGACGGAAACCGUGCUAAAGAGUGUAAACGCAUAAGCUAGCCUAACUGCGAGGGUGACGGCCCGAGCAGUAACGAAAGUUGGAGUUAGUGAUCCGGCGGUAUGAGAGUGGAAUUGCCGUCGCUCAACGGAUAAAAGCUACCCUGGGGAUAACAGGCUGAU
rnacentral:rRNA from 1 species